rnacentral:rRNA from 1 species
AUUGAACGCUGGCGGCAUGCCUUACACAUGCAAGUCGAACGGUAACGGGCCUUCGGGUGCCGACGAGUGGCGAACGGGUGAGUAAUGCAUCGGAACGUACCUUUCAGUGGGGGAUAACGUAGCGAAAGUUACGCUAAUACCGCAUAUUCUGUGAGCAGGAAAGCAGGGGAUCGCAAGACCUUGCGCUGAUUGAGCGGCCGAUGUCAGAUUAGCUAGUUGGUGAGGUAAAGGCUCACCAAGGCGACGAUCUGUAGCGGGUCUGAGAGGAUGAUCCGCCACACUUGGGAACUGAGA